UCAUGUAAACGUACAAAGUGUUUUUCUUUGUAUCAGUCGAUGUUUAAUUCAUUAUCAAUAGCAGCGCACAAAGCAGUUUUCUGUUUCUCCAAAUCUGCAGUUUAAAAAUGGACUUGAUUACAGUAAUUUGAGCAGUGUUAGGUCCACCUCUGGCUGUGGUUCACUGGUAACAGGUGACAGUAUCUUGGCUGGGUGAGAGGGGCGUCCUCCACAAGCUUGAACACAACACUGAUGGAGGUGAACUGGAUGUCCAAAAAAUUGGAAAAUUUUGGCAAAGAAUUCUCUUCAUGAGGAACAGAUUCUGUACACCGCCUUAAAAAUAAAUACCCAGUAAGGAUUUAUAGGACACUGGAGGGUACAUCUUCUCUCUACUUUGACAGAAUUAUUGAUUAAAAAAAGACUGAAACGAGACACGUUCUUUUCAAAGAAUAGUCCAAGACGAUAAAACAUUUACAGACUGGAUUUGCUGCCAUUGAACGGUGAGCUUCAGGUAAUGAUUGAUUGAUAUUUUCCAUCGGCCAGUGAGACAUGAAUUCAGCCAAGGUUGACAGGUUGUAGGUCCAUGAUCCUCGCAAAGAGAACCGCAGAUCCUCUAGUAUGUUGGAGGCUUGGCCCUUGCGGACCAACUGAGUCUUAACCCCUUCCGUGGUGCUCAUGGUUAUAACACAGAGCAUUCUGAUCACUGGACCUGAAGGGCAGUUCAAAUACCGUCAGGUCAUUGGGGGCCCAUAUUAACAGAACCGAGGCUUUGUCACCAAUCCCGCUCAACUUCAAGGAUCUUUAGGGGAAACAGAUCGAUCAACUCCUGACUCCAUAACUGGGUUAUGGCCGCAGAGAAGAAAAACACCGUAAAGGUGAUUUUCUUUUUCUGUGUGUCGCACUCAAUCUUACCUGGAACCCUAAAAUGACAUCGGAAUACUAAAAACUCGGGGAAAGAAGUGAGAUAAAAAAAAUGAACUGCCACCAAAUCAGCAGAGGGCUUUCAGGUUCACACAGAAGAACCCAAAUGCAAAACGCAAAGGUGAAAAGAACAGAAUCUAAGCUUUAAUUAUCAGAAACUUAAGUCAACACAACCAUAAUCCAAAAUGCAAGCAACAAACUGGGAGUGAUCCAAGAGUGAAAAAAACAAGAUGGUAUCAACCAAAAACACUUAGAACAUACCAGGAAAACUCUGGAACACGAGAAGACAAGACCAAGGAACAGAAACACAAACAGACAAACCAAUGAAGAGUGAAGGGAAAACAGACUUAAUGACACCGGGGAUGAUAACUAAUGGAACCCAGUGAACAUUUCCAGCGUUCCCACCUGCUGCUUUCUCUCCUGACACCCAAUUAGCGAUCGGUCCAAUUACCUCAACAUGCAAACCGCAGAUCUCUUUUGGCUUUUGAACCAGCGCAGCCAAAUCAAAGAAUGGGUCAGAAUCAGAACAGAGCUUUCAUCACCAGUUUAAUAAUGUCUCCUGGUACACGACAUGAGAGACGCAGUCAUUUCUCAAGUUUAAUAUCAGUGGCUUUGGUACGAAUGUCAGCAGGCACGCGUUUAUCGUCACCGUCGCUCAGCGUCAGAAAGCCUCCAGUUAAAGUCUUUUAAAUCUGUUUAAAUUGUAAAUUUCCACCAAUUAAACAAUAAUGUAGAUGA